rnacentral:lncRNA from 12 species
GUCCCCGCCGGCGCGGGGGCGGGCGGCUCCGCGGCUCCCCGCCCCCGGCCCGCCCCUCCGCGGCGCCAUUUUGCAGGCGGCUGUCGCGGGGACCGGAGGCGGCGGCGGCGGCGGGCACUGCGGCGCCGAGGCGCGGCGGCAGGACGGGAGCCCAGCGGGCUGCAGCCAGGUGCUGAGAGAUGGCGCUUAUGGGGUUCCUCUCUGCCUGAGCAUCGGGCCCUCUGGGCACUGGAAGAGCCAGCUCAGAUCCUGGGCUCUGCGCCUGCACAAGCCUUCUCCUCCAGCCACUUCAAUCCAGCGGCUGAACUGCUUGUUUCCUCUUAAUGAUGGGUAUUGGUAAGAACACUACGUCCAAAUCCAUGGAGGCUGGAAGUUCAACUGAAGGCAAAUACGAAGAUGAAGCGAAGCAUCCUGCUUUCUUUACUCUUCCGGUGGUGAUAAAUGGAGGUGCCACGUCCAGCGGUGAGCAGGACAAUGAAGACACUGAGCUCAUGGCAAUCUACACGACAGAAAAUGGCAUUGCAGAAAAGAGCUCUCUUGCCGAAACCUUGGAUAGCACUGGCAGUCUAGACCCCCAGAGAUCGGACAUGAUUUACACCAUAGAAGAUGUCCCGCCCUGGUACCUGUGCAUUUUUCUGGGGUUACAGCACUACCUGACGUGCUUCAGUGGCACCAUCGCCGUGCCCUUUUUGCUGGCUGACGCCAUGUGUGUGGGGUAUGACCAGUGGGCCACUAGCCAGCUCAUCGGGACCAUUUUCUUCUGUGUGGGAAUUACAACCUUACUGCAGACAACGUUUGGAUGCAGGUUACCCCUGUUUCAGGCCAGUGCUUUUGCAUUUCUGGCCCCUGCUCGAGCCAUCCUGUCUUUAGAUAAAUGGAAAUGUAACACCACAGAUGUUUCAGUGUCCAAUGGAACCACAGAGCUGUUACACACAGAGCACAUCUGGUAUCCCCGGAUACGCGAGAUACAGGGUGCCAUCAUCAUGUCCUCACUGAUAGAAGUGGUCAUUGGCCUCCUAGGCCUGCCUGGGGCUCUGCUGAAAUAUAUUGGACCCUUGACUAUCACACCAACGGUGGCUCUCAUCGGGCUGUCGGGCUUCCAGGCAGCAGGAGAGAGAGCGGGGAAGCACUGGGGCAUCGCCAUGCUGACAAUUUUCCUAGUAUUACUAUUUUCACAAUAUGCUAGAAAUGUUAAAUUUCCUCUCCCAAUUUAUAAAUCCAAGAAAGGAUGGACCGCAUACAAGUUACAGCUUUUCAAAAUGUUCCCUAUCAUCCUGGCCAUCCUUGUGUCCUGGCUGCUGUGCUUCAUCUUCACAGUGACAGAUGUCUUCCCUCCCGACAGUACAAAGUAUGGCUUCUACGCUCGAACAGACGCCAGGCAGGGCGUGCUCCUGGUAGCCCCGUGGUUUAAGGUCCCGUACCCGUUUCAGUGGGGACUGCCCACCAUCACCGCAGCUGGUGUCAUCGGCAUGCUCAGCGCAGUUGUCGCCAGUAUCAUUGAGUCCAUUGGGGACUAUUAUGCCUGUGCAAGGCUGUCCUGUGCCCCGCCACCUCCCAUCCACGCAAUAAACAGGGGGAUUUUCGUGGAGGGUCUCUCCUGUGUUCUCGAUGGCAUAUUUGGUACUGGGAAUGGCUCUACUUCAUCCAGUCCUAACAUUGGAGUUUUGGGAAUUACUAAGGUGGGCAGUCGCCGGGUGAUCCAGUACGGCGCAGCCCUCAUGCUGGCGCUGGGCAUGAUUGGGAAGUUCAGCGCCCUCUUCGCCUCCCUCCCAGAUCCGGUGCUUGGCGCCCUCUUCUGUACUCUCUUUGGAAUGAUUACAGCUGUUGGACUCUCCAACUUGCAGUUCAUCGACUUAAAUUCUUCCCGGAAUCUCUUUGUGCUUGGAUUUUCAAUCUUCUUUGGGCUCGUCCUUCCAAGUUACCUCAGACAGAACCCACUUGUCACAGGGAUAACAGGAAUUGAUCAGGUGUUGAACGUUCUUCUCACAACUGCUAUGUUUGUAGGAGGCUGUGUGGCUUUUAUUUUGGAUAACACCAUCCCAGGUACUCCAGAGGAAAGAGGAAUCAGGAAAUGGAAGAAGGGCGUGGGCAAAGGAAGCAAGUCGCUCGAUGGCAUGGAAUCCUACGAUUUGCCAUUUGGCAUGAACAUUAUUAAAAAAUACAGAUGCUUCAGCUAUUUACCCAUCAGCCCAACCUUUGUGGGCUACACGUGGAAAGGCCUCGGGAAGAGUGCCACUAGCCGGAGUUCAGAUGAGGACUCACAGGCCACGGUAUAG